GGUUCAGGCCCAAACUCGUUCCGCUUCCGUCUUACACGAAACGAGCACCAUCGCCUCCUACUCACCAGAACUCCGAAGCAUCGGAACAACAACGGAGACAAUCGGAAAGCUUAGUCAUUCCUAUGGCAGCGAAGAAUCAGCAAGAUGACAAGGCGAAAAAGCGAAAAGCAUGUUGCAGGUGCCAAAAAGACUGUGUCAGGUACCUCCCCUUUCAAGAAGCCUAAAGCUCGAAUUCCUCCGAAUUAGGGCUCGAAGAAACCUUGAAUUUCAAGUCAUCUAAACCACCGAUCAGAGCCAAAUUUGAUAAUUCUAAAGAGGAUAAAGCGCCUUUAACCAAACGAGAGCUUCCUUCUCCACAAAGCCAAGUAGUAUCUGCAUUUCUGGAUCCACACGUCCUGAGGUCCAGAAAUUAGCAAGAAAAUAGCUGCAGCCACUGAUAGAUGGUGGAGCUCUUGAAAUUUCUGAACCAAGGAAAGCAAUAUCGGCUGACGUGAGAUUUAGAAACAGACAUGACGUCAGUGUCAAGGGUAUGGUUUCCAUCUCCAUAACUGAUAUAUUUAAUUAUGAAUCUCCAUUUUGAUAAGAAAAAAAAAUUCAUUUGAAAAGGUUUGCCUGGUGCAUUUUUAUUACAAUCACUUGCACUUCUGCUAUUAAUUAUUCCUGCUUCGUUAACCUGUUUAAGUUUUGUAUAAUUGCAAAUCCUGUAUAUGUGUUGGAAUGCUGGUGACAUGCAGUGCAGUGCAUCAGAAACAAUACCAUCUACUGAAAAUGCUACUGAGAUUUUAUUAAUCAAACUGAACAUCAGUACUAUGAAUAGACUCAAGCAGAUUUACUCUUAAAUAUUUUGGUAUCUGAUCUGAUCUCAUAGAUAGGGGAGUCGAAUCUUAAUCUCCCCUGUUCAUAGUUGAGGGAAUUUAUUCUCUGCAAGAACCAACAGUGCUCAGGUUUUCUGUAAAUCCGGUUACGAAUAUGAGGAUAGCCUUGGAAUAGAUAGUCAGAUGGAUCAAAUAUAGGGGUUUCUCCGAUGAACCAAAGACCGGGGAUUCUAUCCUCGAACCUAGAAUCCUGCAGGAUCUUGACCAGGCCGUGGUAUUCCAUGCUUUGGGUACCGAUGGGGAUGAAUUACUUGGAGAGUUGCCAUUGGAAUAAGGAAUUCGGUUGCAGUCCGGGCAGAAGUUUUUCUCUCUUCGCAAGUCAAAGGCUCUUCUUUUGGCAUUGUCAGAAAGACAAACAUAUGCCUGCAAGUCAUGAGGCAGUUUCAGCCUUGGGAAGGCAGUUUCAGCCUUGGGAUGCUUAUUCUUAUCUGGAUGAAGUUGCAAAGCUGCACAUAGCAGAACCAUCAGCAUCCUGUGAUAAAAGGAAGAACAAAACAGCACCAAUCAAGCCUACCAAGUUUAUGAUACCGCUUUCGUAUAACGUCUAGUCCUGCAUUCUCUUCCACCUACAAAUCCAGAACCCAGAAGAGAAAACAAUAAGAAUAGAUCAACUCUCUCACAGACAGAGAGAGAGAGACAGAGACAGAGACAGAGACAGAGACAUACUUUAAGAAGUCUGUACCAGUCGAUGAAGGCCAAUCUGCCAGAAUUGCUAUAUUGCCUAUGAGCACAUCCAAUGGAAGCAGUGGAAAUGGAGCAAACCUGAGAGACCAAAUGAGAUUUGAUGUCUGAUCCUUGUUGUGCCACUCUCCCCAUUUUCCAGUAUCCAGAGAAACAGAAUACAAGAUGAGAUGUACGUAUCAAGUUUUGGAUUUUGGGGUUAAAGGAGAGGAGGAGAAGCAGUGAUGGGGGAGGUGGAGCGGUUAAGAGAAAAAUGGCAAAGCUUGCGGGAGAGAUUUUUGAAAGUGGAUGAGUUGGUGGGAAGAAAAAACGAGUGAGAGAAAUGGAGAGAUUAACGUUAAUCUUGCCACGUGGCUUCUAAAUCAAAAGGUGAUUAAUCUUUAUUUGAAGACAAACUAUAACAAAUCCAUAGUAAUUUCACGAGUAUACCAUGCUAUAUAGAUUGAAUUUAUUUCGAUGAGUAACUCCACGUGAACUCAUGGAGGCGUACAAAGUAUAAUACAUCACACGCAAAUAAUGCCCACUUUGAAAUUCAUGUAUGUAAAAGUAUCGUCUUUUUUGGGCUAUAUAAACUCUGGAUACUUGAGGUUAUGCAAACGUGACAGCCCAAAUUUAGACUCAUAUCAUACGUCUAACGGGCUAUAUUUAUCAUGCAGUAAGGUGAAAUUGUUUUCCGUGUGCGAGUCUUACAAUGUGCCAAAAUAUGGAUUCAAUAACAAACUUUACUCGUCAAAGUGCUCAUAGAUUUAAGUCACAACUGUCAAUUUUCAUUCAUGAUACAGCAAAUACCCGCUUUACAGAAAAAACACCAACCAGAUCAUUAAUGCAAAGCACCUGUAAAGUUAAGCAACUCACAAUCAUAGAAGGCCCAAGUAAAAUGAAUCAAGUUCAUUCAAAAUAAACAUGAACUGAAUAAUCAACCAGCACAAACACAACCAAAUUAUACCACUUUGGUAUAAAAAGGGCAUGGCCUCUGUUCGCCUAACUCAGGUGCUGUGGAAAAUCUAGCAACGAAAAUAAUAACACAACUAUACAAGCAAUAACCAUAACUCUCAAAUGCCAGAAGGUUGCCUAUCCAAUAAGGCAAAAAACAGGCUCAAACCAUUCGAGUUCUGAAUAAUACUCAUGGAAAAAUUUGACUGAUUAAGGGUUACGGGUUACCCACUUACUUUUCAAUAGCCGCGGCUUCAAAACACAAAACUUUCUGAGCAAAGGAUACAUGACGUAUUUCAACUGCAACAGGGUUCUAAUUUCUGAAUGUCCAUUAGAUAAUUGCAUCCAUAAUUCAAAAAAAAAAA